rnacentral:rRNA from 1 species
AUACAGAGGGUGCAAGCGUUAUUCGGAAUUACUGGGCGUAAAGCGCGCGUAGGCGGAUGAUUAAGUCAGUUGUGAAAGCCUUGGGCUCAACCUAGGAACUGCAUCUGAUACUGGUCGUCUAGAGUUUAAGAGAGGGAAGUGGAAUUCCAGGUGUAGCAGUGAAAUGCGUAGAUAUCUGGAGGAACAUCAGUGGCGAAGGCGACUUCCUGGCUUAAAACUGACGCUGAGGUGCGAAAGCGUGGGUAGCGAACGGGAUUAGAAACCCUAGUAGUCC